AGGAUGAACGCUGGCGGCGUGCCUAAUACAUGCAAGUCGAGCGGUAAGGCCACUUCGGUGGUACACGAGCGGCGGACGGCUGAGUAACACGUAGGAACGUACCCCAAAGUGAGGCAUAAGCACCAGAAAUGGUGUCUAAUACCGCAUGUGAUCUUCGGAUUAAAGCUUCGGCGCUUUGGGAACGGCCUGCGCAUGAUUAGCUUGUUGGUGAGGUAAUAGCUCACCAAGGCGACGAUCAUUAGCUGGUCUGAGAGGAUGACCAGCCAGACUGGGACUGAGAACGGCCCAGACUCCUACGGGAGGCAGCAGUAGGGAAUUUUCCACAAUGGGCG
rnacentral:rRNA from 1 species